rnacentral:lncRNA from 1 species
UUUUUUUCCCGUUAAAUUCCCAUCAGAUUCAAGAUAUUUCUGCUAAUUUUUCUUUUAACUACCGAAGUUUUUGUUUGCGAAUCUUUUUUACUUUAAAUCUUGUUUUCAGUUUGUUCUAUGAUUAUUCUUUGAAAUUUUCCUGCUGAUUUCCCUCUUUGUUAACUCAUUUCUCUGUGGUCAAGGCGGUGGUGCCGGCGCCUCUGCCAUCGGCGGUGUUAUCCCUUUUUCUUCC